UACGUAGGGUGCGAGCGUUAAUCGGAAUUACUGGGCGUAAAGCGUGCGCAGGCGGUUCGUUAAGUCAGCUGUGAAAGCCCCGGGCUCAACCUGGGAAUUGCGGUUGAAACUGGCGAACUAGAAUCUGGCAGAGGGGGGUGGAAUUCCGCGGUGUAGCAGGUGAAAUGCGUAGAUAUUGGGAAGAACACCUGAGGCGAAGGCGGGGUUGCUGGGCUGAUACUGACGCUGAGGCGCGAAAGCCAGGGGAGCAAAACGGG
rnacentral:rRNA from 1 species